rnacentral:rRNA from 1 species
CAGCAGCCGCGGGAAUACGUAGGGUGCAAGCGUUAAUCGGAAUUACUGGGCGUAAAGCGUGCGUAGGCGGUGAGUUAAGUCUGCUGUGAAAUCCCCGGGCUCAACCUGGGAAUGGCAGUGGAUACUGGCUCGCUAGAGUGUGUCAGAGGAUGGUGGAAUUCCCGGUGUAGCGGUGAAAUGCGUAGAGAUCGGGAGGAACAUCAGUGGCGAAGGCGGCCAUCUGGGACAACACUGACGCUGAGGCACGAAAGCGUGGGGAGCAAACAGGGUUAGAUACCCCCGUAGUCCCUGUCUCUUAUAC